CUAGGUUUGGGGCCUUGCUGAGCUUGGCUGCUCAAGUAGAGUAGGGGUUCCUCUGUGAAGGAGAGCUAGGGACAGAAUUUGGACUUGUUCAUGUCUCUGGGGUUGCGGUCAGGUCCCUGGCUAGGACUGGAGUAUUCCGAAGCAGCUCCCCUUUCCCAGACCCUCAUUCUGGGCCGGCAGACCUGUCACCCAAAGUGCACACCAGGCAAGCGGGGAGCAGGAGGCUCCGGGUGGGUCCCCACCAGCCGGGGCGGGGUCCCGUGGGGCAGGGGCGGGGCUGGCGGCGGGCAGGGCCGCCCCUUCCAGCGAGGGCAGACUGUCUUGGCCUUUAAGCGCCUGCUGAAGCUCGGCUGAGAGAGGCCCGGGUCAGUCCCCACACCAUGCCCUGUUUGCGCUCCGGGCCAGAGUGCGCCUGAGCGGUUCGGGCCUCGGUAUCCCCGCGGGUCUUGCGCCGCCGCCUCUCCGCGAUGCAGGCGCGCGCGCUGCUCCCCGCCACGCUGGCCAUUCUGGCCACGCUGGCUGUGUUGGCUCUGGCCCGGGAGCCCCCAGCGGCUCCGUGUCCUGCGCGCUGCGACGUGUCGCGCUGUCCGAGCCCUCGCUGCCCUGGGGGCUAUGUGCCUGACCUCUGCAACUGCUGCCUGGUGUGCGCUGCCAGCGAGGGCGAGCCCUGCGGCCGCCCCCUGGACUCUCCGUGCGGGGACAGUCUGGAGUGCGUGCGCGGCGUGUGCCGCUGCCGUUGGACCCACACUGUGUGUGGCACAGACGGGCAUACUUAUGCCGACGUGUGCGCGCUGCAGGCCGCCAGCCGUCGUGCGUUGCAGGUCUCCGGGACUCCAGUGCGCCAGCUGCAGAAGGGUGCCUGUCCCUCUGGUCUCCACCAGCUGACCAGUCCGCGGUACAAGUUCAACUUCAUCGCCGAUGUGGUGGAGAAGAUUGCGCCAGCUGUGGUCCACAUAGAGCUCUUUCUGAGACACCCCCUGUUUGGCCGGAAUGUGCCGCUGUCCAGUGGCUCGGGCUUCAUCAUGUCAGAAGCCGGUUUGAUCGUCACCAACGCCCACGUGGUCUCCAGCUCCAGCACUGCCUCCGGCCGGCAGCAGCUGAAGGUGCAGCUGCAGAAUGGGGAUGCCUAUGAGGCCACCAUCCAGGACAUCGACAAGAAGUCGGACAUUGCCACGAUUGUAAUCCACCCCAAGAAAAAGCUCCCUGUGUUGCUGCUGGGUCACUCAGCAGACCUGCGGCCUGGCGAGUUCGUGGUGGCCAUCGGCAGCCCCUUUGCCCUGCAGAACACCGUGACAACGGGCAUUGUCAGCACUGCCCAGCGGGAUGGCAAGGAGCUGGGUCUCCGGGACUCAGACAUGGACUAUAUCCAGACCGAUGCCAUCAUCAAUUACGGGAACUCAGGAGGACCCCUGGUGAACCUGGAUGGCGAGGUCAUCGGCAUCAACACGCUCAAGGUUGCAGCUGGCAUCUCCUUUGCCAUCCCCUCAGAUCGCAUCACACGCUUCCUCUCUGAGUUCCAAAACAAGCAUGUGAAAGCCCUCUCACCAGCACUGCACUGAGAGCAGGGGCCUUCCUCCUGCUUGCCCCCUCCUUUGCGGCCCUGCCAGCCACACACAAGGACCCCAGUACAGCCAAGACUGGUCCCAUGAAGAACUGCAACCGAGGAGCCUCGUUCUGUUCCAAGUGGCCCUAUAUGAAGAUGACAGGAGCAGGCAGAGCCUGUCCCUUCCAGGAAUCCGAGACACCUUCUGACUGGAAGAAGCGCUUCAUUGGCAUCCGGAUGCGGACCAUCACGCCAAGUUUGGUGGAGGAACUGAAGGCCGCCAACCCAGACUUUCCAGCGGUCAGCAGUGGAAUAUAUGUUCAAGAGGUGGUUCCCAAUUCACCUUCUCAGAGAGGAGGCAUCCAAGAUGGCGACAUCAUCGUCAAAGUCAAUGGCCGCCCCCUGGCGGAUUCCAGCGAGCUGCAGGAGGCAGUCCUGAACGAGUCUUCACUCCUGCUGGAGGUGCGGCGAGGCAAUGAUGAUCUCCUCUUCAGCAUCAUCCCUGAGGUGGUCAUGUGAGGCUACUCUCAUCCAGUGCCAUGCCAAAGCCUACAGAAGGUGGGGUUCCGGCCUUCAUGAAAUCAGGACAAACGGCUGCUGUGGUCCUCAGCAGGAUCAACAGUCUCCUCUCUGGGUCCAGCGCUGAGUCCAAGGCUGGAUCUAACCAGGGGUCCGGAUCUCAGCCUUGACCCUUAAUUUCAGCUCCAGUAGAGGAAGCACAGCGUCCUUUGGACCAGAUGCUCCUGAUGUUACCGUCUGAGUUCUCUAGGCCUAGAAGCUCUUAGAAACCUCCCUGGAAGUCUGCCCUUCCCCCACCCCCACCCCAGCUUUCUGCCUCUGCCCUCAGGAAGGCCCACCCGGCUCCCAUCCCACCUCUUCUCCCUUGUAUCCCAGUGCCUCAACCUCUCCCUGUUACAGGCACUUUCCUGACACUACCAGGCUUCCAUCUGCCUCAGCACACCCCACCCCCAUGGUAAGACAGGGGCUGCUUGCCCUACCACCCGGUAUCCCUGGAGGGCAGGCCCUGUAGCUGUCCCCUGGAGAAGCCAGGGUCCUGACCUGGAGCAGGUUAACAUCCCUCACUGCUGAGCUGAGCCCUGUGCUGGCCAGGAUGGACAGGAAGAUGAGUUUCAUAAUCACGUGGUCUCCAACCCUGACAGCUCAUUCUCCCAAGGUGACUACACGGUGGCCAAAGAGGAGCGGACACCUGCCUGAGGUGCAAGGACUGAGCCACUUCACCUCUGCAUGCAGUUCUGGGUGCGGCAGCUGUCUGUGAAGAUGGCGCCACCCAGCAGCCAGCAGGCUCCCAAGGGCAUCUUUGUUCUCCCUAGUGUUUCAAGUGUAUUUGUGAGCAUUGCUGUAAAGUUUCUCCCACUACCCACAUUGCUUGUACUGUAUGUUUCUCUACUGUAUGGCAUUAAAGUUUACAAGCACAUAGCUGUCAACCA